UACGUAGGGUGCGAGCGUUAAUCGGAACUACUGGGCGUAAAGCGCGCGUAGGCGGUUUUGUAAGUCGGGUGUGAAAUCCCCAAGCUUAACUUGGGAACUGCAUUCGAGACUGCAUAGCUAGAGUAUGGGAGAGGGAAGUGGAAUUUCAGGUGUAGCGGUGAAAUGCGUAGAUAUCGUAAGGAAGACCAGUGGCGAAGGCGGGUCUCUGGACAGUUCCUGACGCUGAGGCACGAAGGCCAGGGGAGCAAACGGG
rnacentral:rRNA from 1 species